AUUGAACGCUGGCGGCAUGCCUUACACAUGCAAGUCGAACGGCAGCACGGUUGCUUGUUCCUGGUGCCGAGUGCCGGACGGGUGCGGAUUACAUCUGCACCUGUAUUGACGUUUGCGAGAGCGCGGCGAAAGCGGAAUUAAUACCGCUAACGCACACCGCCUGAGAGUGGAGGCCGUUCGUCUUUCGCGCUUUCGCGUUUGCCGAUGGCGGAUUAGCUAGUUGGUGGGGUAAAGGCCUACCAAGGCGACGAUCAGUAGCUGGUCUGAGAGGACGACCAGCCACACUGGGACUGAGACACGGCCCAGACUCCUACGGGAGGCAGCAGUGGGGAAUUUUGGACAAUGGGCGCAAGCCUGAUCCAGCAAUGCCGCGUGGGUGAAGAAGGCCUUCGGGUUGUAAAGCACUUUUGUUCGGAAAGAAAAGCAGCAGGUUAAUACCGUGGGGGGAUGACGGUACCCAAAGAAUAAGCACCGGCUAACUACGUG
rnacentral:rRNA from 1 species